rnacentral:rRNA from 1 species
CUGGAUUCGCUGUAAUCGCGCAUCAGCCAUGGCGCGGUGAAUACGUUCCCGGGCCUUGUACACACCGCCCGUCAAGCCAUGGAAGCCGGGAGUGCCUGAAGUGUGCAACCGCAAGGAGCGCCCUAAGGUAAAACUGGUGACUGGGGCUAAGUCGUAACAAGGUAAC